UGGCCCAGUGGCUGGAGAUUUAGAGGUGACUUUACAGCGUUUACUUUGAGGAUUGGCCCCAUCUUUACAGGAACUCUGCAUGGGGUCUGGCCCAGAGCAGCUGCUCUCGAAGCUAGCUACUUCGAGCACGGGGUCUGCUCGAAGACAGAAACGCCUGGCUUGCCUUUGACUCCAUCAGUCUGGAGGCUGGUCUGGAAUUUCCUCCCCCAGAAACUCAGGCUUCUCACUGAAGUUCUUCCCAGUUUACUUAGAACCUUUGCAGACAUUGCCUCAUUUGAUCCUUAUCACAGCCCUGACGGGUGGGAGCCAUUAGCUCCAUUUUACAGAAGCAGAGGUUGUGUGACUUCACCAGGUAAGACAUGGCGGACGUGGAUGCAGACCCAGGUCUGCCGGCUUCCAAAUCCCGGGUUCUUUCAUCAUUUAGCUGGAAAGGUGUCACUGGAGGAGAUCGACUGCGUUCAUAGAGUCUGUCUUUCCCAUGACUCAGUUAUGGACCAGUGGAAAGGGCGGAGUUUACGAAGUCGGACAGAACGAAGUUAAUACAACACAAACGGAGGUCUUAACCGUGGAGAUAAUGAAAAG
rnacentral:lncRNA from 1 species